GGAUUCGAUGACAUGAGCGAUAUCGAAGAAGAGUGUGAAAAAAAAUCUCGUCCGAAGAAGUUCAAGAAGCGAUUUGUACGAACAAAAAAGUACGCAAACUUCCACAGUUCAUCAGAUUCUGAAUGUAAUGAGAAGAGAACUUUCACGCGGGGCAGUGAUGACGAGUAUGAACCGGAAAAUCUACGGCAAUCAGAGAAUCAUCAAAAUUACAAGUCGUAUUAUGCAGAAACUGGAAAGAAGAGACACAUGUACCACCUUAUGUGUGACAUAAGUAUUAAAUACAAGACGUGGGAUACGCUGAAAAAAAUUUUUGACAU